rnacentral:rRNA from 1 species
UACGGAGGGUGCAAGCGUUAUCCGGAUUUACUGGGUUUAAAGGGUGCGUAGGUGGGUAGGUAAGUCAGUGGUGAAAUCUUCAAGCUUAACUUGGAAACUGCCAUUGAUACUAUUUAUCUUGAAUACUUUGGAGGUAAGCGGAAUAUGUCAUGUAGCGGUGAAAUGCUUAGAUAUGACAUAGAACACCAAUUGCGAAGGCAGCUUACUACCCGAAUAUUGACACUGAGGCACGAAAGCGUGGGGAUCAAACAGG